rnacentral:tRNA from 1 species
GCCGAAGUGGCGGAACUGGUAGACGCGCCGGACUCAAAAUCCGGUGGGGCGCAAGCUCCGUGUGGCUUCGACUCCCACCGUCGGCA